rnacentral:lncRNA from 1 species
UUGUAUCCGCCAUAGCUAUCUCAAGUUUAGCUAACCGAGCUUCAAAACUAGCAAGAUAGUCACGAGAUUUACCUCCCUUAUGUGGUGGUGGUACCGUACGCUCCUCCUCACGACCCUUGCGAACUUGCUCCUCACCGCCGAUAGCCAUGUCGUGAAUGUGCCCAGCUAACCCACGAACCCUUUCGUAGCGUUGCUCUGAUAUCAACUGUCACGGACCGGAUAACUCCCUAGCUAUCUUCCGUGCGGCCUUAGUCACAAUCCGCCCCUUAGCUAACCGAGCUUCAAAACUAGCAAGAUAGUCACGAGAUUUACCUCCUCUUAUGUGGUGGUGGGUUAGUGCGCUCCUCCUCGCGACCCUUGCGAACUUGCUCCUCACCGCCGCUAGCCAUGUCGUGAAUGCGCCCAAGCUAACCCACGAACCCUUUCGUAGCGUUGCUCUGAUACAAACUGUCACGAACCGGAUAACUCCCUAGCUAUCUUCCGUGCGGCCUUAGUCACAGUUCGCACCUGCGAUGUGCUAUGUCAGCCUUUCCCCGAAAUAUUUCCACAACAAAGCUAAGAGAAGCUAAGAAGAGAAGCUUGCAAGAAUUCUUUGUAUUAAACAAGAGAAAGCUUUAUACAAGUAUUGGAUUGCUUGAAUGUUUCUUGGAU